rnacentral:piRNA from 1 species
UACUUCUGGGCCACUGAGUGGACAGCCACUGU